UACGUAGGGUGCAAGCGUUAAUCGGAAUUACUGGGCGUAAAGCGUGCGCAGGCGGUGAUGUAAGACAGAUGUGAAAUCCCCGGCUCGAACCUGGGAACUGCAUUUGUGUACUGCAUCGCUGGAGUGCGGCAGAGGGGGAUGGAAUUCCGGCGUGUAGCAGUGAAAUGCGUAGAUAUGCGGAGGAACACCGAUGGCGAAGGACA
rnacentral:rRNA from 1 species